rnacentral:rRNA from 1 species
AUUGAACGCUGGCGGCAUGCCUUACACAUGCAAGUCGAACGGUAGAGUAGCAAUACUCGAGAGUGGCGAACGGGUGAGUAAUAUAUCGGAACGUGCCCAAUCGUGGGGGAUAACGUAGAGAAAUUUACGCUAAUACCGCAUACGAUCUAAGGAUGAAAGCGGGGGAUCGCAAGACCUCGCGCGAUUGGAGCGGCUG